CAUCGUAGAAAUCAAAGAAGAUACCUUCCGAGAUCUCUCCAGUGUACAAUAUGUGAAUUUGGGUGAUAAUAAUCUCAAAGAAAUCAAAGUAAACGCAUUCCGAAGUCUAUCUAAAUUGACAAAACUACAUUUGAAUGAAAAUAAAAUCGAGAAAAUCCAAGUAGGAACUUUUGAUGAGCUUCCCAGUUUAAGAUAUCUGAAUUUGCGUGGUAAUAAUAUCAAAGAAAUCAAAUUAGAAACAUUCCGAAAUCUUCCCACUUUAACAGAACUGUGAGUUGAAU
rnacentral:lncRNA from 1 species